rnacentral:rRNA from 1 species
GACGAACGCUGGCGGCGUGCUUAACACAUGCAAGUCGAGCGGAGCGGCGAACGGGUGAGUAACGCGGGAGUAACUGCCCCCCUCCCUGGGAUAACAGUUGGAAACGGCUGCUAAUACCGGAUAGUGGGGGAUGACUCGCGUCCUAUCAGCUUGUUGGUUGGGUAGUGGCCUACCAAGGCGACGACGGGUAGCCGGCCUGAGAGGGCGACCGGCCCCAUUGGGCUGAGUGACGGACCAAAGUCGUACGGGGGGCAGCAGUGGGGAAUAUGGCACAAUCGGGGAAACCCUGAUGCAGCAGCGCGCGUUCGUGAUGACGGCCUUCGGGUUGUAAACCGCUUUCAGCUAUUACGCGGUAGUGGCAGAAGAAGCACCGGCUAACUACGUGCCAGCAGCCGCGGUAAUUC